rnacentral:lncRNA from 1 species
GACCCACCUAGGCGCCCCAAUGUGUUGGCGUUUUCAAAUCAAGACAGCAAUUGCUACGAAUAAGCCAGCAUGCGGUGGAGAUAAAGUUGCAAACCAUCCUCAACUGCCAUGGAUCUCUAAGGAGCAGCUGACAACAUUAUGUAUUAAACAUUUAUUAUGGGUUAAAUUGAGUGCUUAACAUGCUUAACCAUCCCCUGCACUGCUUGUAACAACUCUAGGGAGAAGAUACUAUGGCUAUUCCCAUUUUAUAGGUGAGAAAACCAAAUCAUAGAGAGUAAUCUGGCCAAGGUCGCAUGGUGAGUGGAGAAGCCAAGAAUCAAACAAGCCCUCUUGGGCUAUCACCACCACUCUAUACCUCCUCCUCAUAAUUGGUAUCUAUUGUCUUUACAAAGAGCUAUUUUCCAGAAUUGUCAGGUUCAAAGUCCCAUGAAGUCGCCAGUAGAGGAGGUGUGCGAAUAGCUGUGUACCAAGAGCCCUCUGAUACUAGAUAAGGCUCUGUGUGGAGCCAUCUCUCUGGCACCCCUGCCUCACCCAGAUCCCACUGCAUGCUCAGGACAACGCCGUGGUGAAUUUGAAAGCUGUCCCAUCAACAAGACCUUGACUUGAGAGGUAGGAUGGCUGGGGCCUCUCCUCAGGACAGCCCUGGAAGCAGCAACGUUCAUUCACAGUGUAGAUGUAUUCAGCAGCAGGCCUGAAACAGAGACGUCGUAAAUCCCAUCAAAAUCUCCCCCAUUAUGUGACACACUUUGUUAGAACAGAAUAAGGGGUUCGGCUCUGUUGGACCAAAUCAAGUUGGUCUAUGUGGAGUAUCACAUUUUAGAUUCAAAUCCCUGUUAAACCCUCUGCUUAGGCUCGUGGUUAACAAUAUUUUUAUAUCUGUCUGCAGAGAUGACAGGCAGCCCGGCUCUCGAGCAGGCCCAGCGGCCUCUGCGUGGCUGCUUUUAGAGGCAGGCUCCAUAGAUGAAAGGCAGAAAUCCCACCACCCCAGUGUCUCCUGAUUAGCCCGGAGAAAAGCUGAAUGACAAACAUGUUUCCAAUCUGCCUGGCCCAUGCAGGGAAAUGGGGCAAUCUGGACUGAAAAGGGAUUUAGACUUUUGUUGUGUGCAAGGGAGGGGGGACGGAGAAAAAAGCUGAUUGAAAUCCAUCCACAAUGCUUUCCCACUUGGUGAUCUCUCAGA